rnacentral:rRNA from 1 species
UACGGGGGGGGGCAAGCGUUGUUCGGAAUUACUGGGCGUAAAGGGCUCGUAGGCGGCCAACUAAGUCGGAUGUGAAAUCCCCAGGCUUAACUUGGGAACUGCAUCCGAUACUGGAUGGCUUGAAUCCGGGAGAGGGAUGCGGAAUUCCAGGUGUAGCGGUGAAAUGCGUAGAUAUCUGGAGGAACACCGGUGGCGGAAGGCGGCAUCCUGGACCGGCAUUGACGCUGAGGAGCGAAAGCCAGGGGAGCAAACGGG